UGGUGCGAUCAUACCAGUGUUAAUGCACCAGAUCCCAUCAGAUGUCCGCAGUUAAGCGCACUUAGUCUAGAGUAGUACUGGGAUGGGUGACCUCCCAAAAAGUCCUAGUGUUGCACCCU
rnacentral:rRNA from 1 species